AGACAUACAGGUCGAGCAAGGAUGAAAAUCGGACUUAGUGAUCCGGUGGUUCUGCGUGGAAGGGCCAUCGCUCAACGGAUAAAAGCUACCCUGGGGAUAACAGGCUUAUCUCCCCCAAGAGUCCACAUCGACGGGGAGGUUUGGCACCUCGAUGACGGCUCAUCACUUCCGGGGGCUGUGGUAGGUCCCAAGGGUUGGUCUGUUCGCCCAUUAAAGUGGUACGCUGGCUGGGUUCAGAUCGUCGUUAGACAUUACGUUCCCUUUCCGUCGCUGGCGUAGGAAAUUUGCUAAGACCUGUCCGUAGUACGAGAGGACCGGGAUGGACGUACCUCUGGUGUACCAGUUGUUCUGCCAAGGGCAUGGCUGGGUAGCUAUGUACGGAAUGGAUAAGCGCUGAAAGCAUCUAAGCGCGAAGCCAACUUCAAGAU
rnacentral:rRNA from 1 species